GGGGAUCCUCCCCCGCGCGGCUGUUUGAUUUGCCCGGGACGCGAUCGGUCGAUCGAUCGAUCCGCGCAGACGUCCCUCAUACAUCCUGAAAAUUGACUUAAAUUGAAUUCGGGGGAAUUAUAAUGAGGCUGGCCUGUCCCUCGCUUGGCUUCAAGGACUCCAGUCUUAGAACCUCCGGUGCACUAUUUGCCAAUCUAGAGGAGAAUAAUUAAAUGACACCAGAGUUAUAAAUCACCGAUGUGUCAUAAAUACGUUAUGAGCAGUGUAUUUACCGUCUGCUGUUUGUUUGAUAAACCUCAUGAAGCUCAACAAGUCCUCCACACUGAUGAGCUCGCCCUCAAAAGCAGAGACUGCAGAGUGGAAGGGCUCUAAACACUGAUCGUAGCCCCACUGAGGUGUGCAAUUCCUGAGACAAAAGGAGACAAAGGACGUAAUGGAUUUAUGGGUCCACUGCCAGGACUGCAUGAUGCCAGAGGCAACGGGGGCUUCAGCCUCCACAUGGCUGUCUGGCAGCAGAUUCAGCCUGAAGAAAUACAGACGUGACAGCAGGGAACAUAUAAAGUUGAUGCAGUAAGCACAUAAGGCCAUCUGCAAACUAUCGCUAUGAGCACACCAGAAGAGCAUGACCACCCUCACUGACUGG
ensembl:lncRNA